AAAUCAAAUGACAGAUUAAAAAAAUGUCUUUUAAAUGCUGGUUUUUUCUAAAUAAUGCUUUCAUUUUUUUCAAACAUAACCAUGAUGAUCCAUGUGAAUAUACAUUCCUUUGCAGGUUUUGGAUUCUUUAUAGGGCCAAGCAAGAUGGACCAGUAGUCUUGGGUUGGCGUCAUCCUUGGGAAGGGCAUGGAGAUCACUCACAUGAUCAUGUGCCUGAAGACAAGGUGUAGAUGUUAGAACAUCCAAGAUAUGCGAACUUGGAAUAUUGAAUUAUAGAGCUAAGCGAGUGCUUUGGAUUGCCCUCCGCCAGCUUGAAGUAAUUGAGACCCACAGUGGAUAUGGUUCUCAUCACACAUCUUUCCUGUAAUGAAUUAAGAUUGUCUGCUACAUUUUUGACCUGGCUCUGAUCCAUUA